AUGAAGCCGGAAUUGCUAGUAAUGGCAGGUCAGCAUACUGCCGUGAAUACGUUCCCGGGCCUUGUACACACCGCCCGUCACACCAUGAGAGUUGGAAAUACCCGAAGCCUGUGAGCUAACCUUAUAGGAGGCAGCAGUCGAAGGUAGAGUCAAUGAUUGGGGUGAAGUCGUAACAAGGUAUC
rnacentral:rRNA from 1 species